rnacentral:rRNA from 1 species
UACGAAGGGUGCAAGCGUUACUCGGAAUUACUGGGCGUAAAGCGUGCGUAGGUGGUUCGUUAAGUCCGAUGUGAAAGCCCUGGGCUCAACCUGGGAAUGGCAUUGGAUACUGGCGGGCUAGAGUGCGGUAGAGGGCAGUGGAAUUCCCGGUGUAGCAGUGAAAUGCGUAGAGAUCGGGAGGAACAUCUGUGGCGAAGGCGACUGCCUGGACCAGCACUGACACUGAGGCACGAAAGCGUGGGGAUCGAACAGG